CCUACGGGGGGCAGCAGUGGGGAAUAUUGCGCAAUGGGCGAAAGCCUGACGCAGCGACGCCGCGUGAGGGAUGAAGGUCUUCGGAUCGUAAACAUCUGUCAGCAGGGAAGAACGGUCACUGUGCUAAUCAGCAGUGAAUUGACGGUACCUGCAAAGGAAGCACCGGCUAACUCCGUGCCAGCAGCCGCGGUAAUACGGAGGGUGCGAGCGUUAAUCGGAAUUACUGGGCGUAAAGCGUCCGUAGGCGGUAUGUCAAUUCAAGGGGGAAAUCCCCGGGCUCAACGUGGGAACUGCCUUUGAAACUGGCAAACUGGAGUGUGUGAGAGGAUAGUGGAAUUCCAGGUGUAGGAGUGAAAUCCGUAGAUAUCUGGAGGAACAUCAGUGGCGAAGGCGACUAUCUGGCACAUAACUGACGCUGAGGAGCGAAAGCGUGGGUAGCAAACAGGAUUAGAUACCCUAGUAGUC
rnacentral:rRNA from 1 species